UGCAAGUCGAACGGGAACCCUUGGAUUCGUCUGAGGGGGAGAGUGGCGAACGGGUGAGUAACACGUAGGUGACCUGCCCCGGAGAGGGGGAUAACCACUGGAAACGGUGGCUAAUACCCCAUGUGCUCGAUGGUUCGUUCCAUCGAGUAAACGCGCCUCUAACGAGGAUAGUGCUCUGGGAGGGGCCUGCGGCCCAUCAGGUAGUUGGUAGGGUAAUGGCCUACCAAGCCGAUGACGGGUAGGGGGCGUGAGAGCGCGAUCCCCCACACUGGCACUGAGAUACGGGCCAGACUCCUACGGGUGGCAGCAGUGAGGAAUAUUGCCCAAUGGACGAAAGUCUGAGGCAGCAACGCCGCGUGCGCGAUGAAGGCCUUCGGGUUGUAAAGCGCUUUUCUGGGGGAAGAGCAAGGACAGUACCUCAGGAAUAAGUCACGGCUAACUACGUGCCAGCAGCCGCGGUAAUACGUAGGUGGCAAGCGUUAUCCGGAUUUACUGGGCGUAAAGCGCGUGCAGGCGGUUCCGUAAGUCGGACGUGAAAGCUCCUGGCUUAACUGGGAGAGGCCGUUCGAUACUGCGGGACUUGAGGUUGGGAGAGGGACGUGGAAUUCCCGGUGUAGUGGUGGAAUGCGUAGAUAUCGGGAGGAACACCAGUGGCGAAGGCGGCGUCCUGGCCCACACCUGACGCUGAGACGCGAAAGCGUGGGUAGCGAACGGGAUUAGAUACCCCGGUAGUCCACGCCGUAAACGGUGGAUACUAGGUGUUGGUGGCUAUCGUCAUCAGUGCCGUAGCUAACGCGUUAAGU
rnacentral:rRNA from 1 species